rnacentral:rRNA from 1 species
GACGAACGCUGGCGGCGUACUUAACACAUGCAAGUCGAACGGAAAGGCCCUGCUUUUGUGGGGUGCUCGAGUGGCGAACGGGUGAGUAACACGUGAGUAACCUGCCCUUGACUUUGGGAUAACUUCAGGAAACUGGGGCUAAUACCGGAUAGGAGCUCCUGCUGCAUGGGGGGGGUUGGAAAGUUUCGGCGGUUGGGGAUGGACUCGCGGCUUAUCAGCUUGUUGGUGGGGUAGUGGCUUACCAAGGCUUUGACGGGUAGCCGGCCUGAGAGGGUGACCGGCCACCUUGGGCCUGAGAUACGGCCCAGACUCCUACGGGAGGCAGCAGUGGGGAAUAUUGCACAAUGGGCGGAAGCCUGAUGCAGCAACGCCGCGUGCGGGAUGACGGCCUUCGGGUUGUAAACCGCUUUCGCCUGUGACGAAGCGUGAGUGACGGUAAUGGGUAAAGAAGCACCGGCUAACUACGUG